rnacentral:rRNA from 1 species
UACGGAGGAUGCAAGCGUUAUCCGGAAUUAUUGGGCGUAAAGCGUCCGCAGGUGGCAAUUCAAGUCUGCUGUUAAAGGCUCUGGCUCAACCAGGGACAGGCAGUGGAAACUGAAUAGCUAGAGUGCGGUAGGGGCAGAGGGAAUUCCCAGUGUAGCGGUGAAAUGCGUAGAGAUUGGGAAGAACACCGGUGGCGAAAGCGGUCUGCUAGGCUGUAACUGACGCUCAGGGACGAAAGCAAGGGGAGCGAAUGGG